rnacentral:rRNA from 1 species
AACGAACGCUGGCGGCAUGCCUAACACAUGCAAGGCGAACGAGACCUUCGUGUCGAGUGGCGCACGGGUGCGUAACGCGUGGGAACCUGCGCUUAGGUUCGGAAUAACCCCCCGAAAGGGGUGCUAAUACCGGAUAAUGUCUGCGGACCAAAGAUUUAUCGCCUUUGGAUGGGCCCGCGUUGGAUUAGCUAGUUGGUAGGGUAAAAGCCUACCAAGGCGACGAUCCAUAGCUGGUCUGAGAGGAUGAUCAGCCACACUGGGACUGAGACACGGCCCAGACCCGUACGGGACGCAGUAGUGGGGACUAUUGGACAAUAGGCGAAAGCCUGCUCCAGCAGUGCCGAGUGAGCGAUGAAGGCCUUAGGGUUGUAAAGCUCUUUUCCCCGGGAUGAUAAUGACAGUACCGGAAGAAUAAGACCCGCCUAACCCCGUG